AUUGAACGCUGGCGGCAUGCCUUACACAUGCAAGUCGAACGGCAGCACGGGAGCAUUCCUGGUGGCGAGUGGCGAACGGGUGAGUAAAGUAUCGGAACGUGCCCAGUCGUGGGGGAUAACGUAGCGAAAGUUACGCUAAUACCGCACACGAUCUAUGGAUGAAAGCGGGGGAUCGCAAGACCUCGCGCGAUUGGAGCGGGCGAUAUCAGAUUAGGUAGUUGGUGGGGUAAAGGCUCACCAAGCCGACGAUCUGUAGCUGGUCUGAGAGGACGACCAGCCACACUGGGACUGAGACACGGCCCAGACUCCUACGGGAGGCAGCAGUGGGGAAUUUUGGACAAUGGGCGAAAGCCUGAUCCAGCCAUGCCGCGUGCAGGAUGAAGGCCUUCGGGUUGUAAACUGCUUUUGUACGGAACGAAAAGGUUUGGCCUAAUAAGCUGGGCUCAUGACGGUACCGUAAGAAUAAGCACCGGCUAACUACGUGCCAGCCGCCGCGGUAA
rnacentral:rRNA from 1 species